UACUGUACCGGUAGUGCUGAGAACAGAGAUAGCCCUAGGCCAUGUGGAGAGUGGAACAGCUGCAUGUUUAAGCAAGUUGUGCCGUGCCUCGAUGAGUCACUAACUUUAUCGUGAACUUUGUAGGAGGCAUGGGAUCCAAGGGGACAUUGCGUUGCGGAUCCAGAACUGGCUUGCCCACAGAAGGCAAAGAGUGGUUGUAGAUGGGUCAUAUUCUGCAUGGAGGCUAAGAGAAAGAAGGCUGCUGUGUAGAGAAACCAGUGAGAAAGCAAAAGAGCGGUGAAAGUACUGGAGGUUCAAAGUGUACUAAAAGUGACAAAGAUGAUAACCUAUUUCAGUUUUCACCAUAUGUUAAUGUGAAGAGUGAACAGUAAAUGGUUAAUCUUACUGCGAUCUGGUUCUUAUUAACUGUGGUUUAUCUCGACGUUAAAUUCGACGUUCGUGACACGCGAAGGAGAACGUUACAGUCCACACUAGACCGGAUAAUUUUGAAAACGCCGGUUUCACGUAAAAACGACAGGUGUCCACACUAGGCAUUUUUAAAAAUACCUCUGUCCACAUUAAAACGGAUAUUUGGGCGAAUCUCCUCCUACUGGGCAUGCGCAGGACACCCAGAAAACAAGCAAAGAGGAAACUGUAUACUUGGUGCAUGUUUGUCCAGUUAUAGACGAGAAAAACUUAAAAAGAAAUUGCCAAACAGAAGACUUGGUGCACGUCUGUCCAGAAACAUUUCCUACAGCCAUAGUCUCUUCACCGAUGAAAGGGAUGACUGCUACAACUAAAUGCAAUAAGGCUUGUUACUGGGCAAAAGUGAAAUUUGCUGUUACCUCAUUUGUUUGCCUUUACUUUUGCCAUGUCUUUGUGUAUUAUUUUGCUGUAACUAACA